CCCUUAGAUGUCCUGGGCCGCACGCGCGCUACACUGAGUGUCUGAGAUAUGAGGCAUGCCUGGUCCGGCAAGGUCUAGGUAAUCACGAAAAGGCACAUCAUGCUUGGGAUUGAUUAUUGCAAAUUUUAAUCAUGAACGAGGAAUUCCUAGUAAGUGCAAGUCAACAGCUUGCGUUGAUUACGUCCCUGCCCUUUGUACACACCGCCCGUCGCUCCUACCGAUUGGGUGUGCUGGUGAAAUGUUCGGAUCGGCCGUUUGUCGCGGUUUCCGCGUCAUGUGGCUGAGAAGUUCAUUAAACCCUCCCACCUAGAGGAAGGAGAAGUCGUAACA
rnacentral:rRNA from 1 species